GAUGAACGCUGGCGGCGUGCCUAAUUCAUGCAAGUCGAGCGAACGGACGAGAAGCUUGCUUCUCUGAUGUUAGCGGCGGACGGGUGAGUAACACGUGGAUAACCUACCUAUAAGACUGGGAUAACUUCGGGAAACCGUAGCUAAUACCGGAUAAUAUUUUGAACCGCAUGGUUCAAAAGUGAAAGACGGUCUUGCUGUCACUUAUAGAUGGAUCCGCGCUGCAUUAGCUAGUUGGUAAGGUAACGGCUUACCAAGGCAACGAUGCAUAGCCGACCUGAGAGGGUGAUCGGCCACACUGGAACUGAGACACGGUCCAGACUCCUACGGGAGGCAGCAGUAGGGAAUCUUCCGCAAAGGGCGAAAGCCUGACGGAGCAACGCCGCGUGAGUGAUGAAGGUCUUCGGAUCGUAAAACUCUGUUAUUAGGGAAGAACAUAUGUGUAAGUAACUGUGCACAUCUUGACGGUACCUAAUCAGAAAGCCACGGCUAACUACGUG
rnacentral:rRNA from 1 species